UUAAUAAGUCAGUAGUGAAAUCCUGCAGCUUAACUGUAGAAUUGCUAUUGAUACUGUUAAUCUUGAGUACAGUUGAGGUAGNCGGAAUGUAUGAUGUAGCGGUGAAAUGCUUAGAUAUCAUACAGAACACCAAUUACGAAGGCAGCUUACUAAACUGUAACUGACGCUGAGGCACGAAAGCGUGGGGAGCGAACAGGAUUAGAUACCCUGGUAGUCCACGCUGUAAACGAUGAUCACUCGCUGUUGGCAAUACAUCGUCAGUGGCUGAGCAAAAGCAUUAAGUGAUCCACCUGGGGAGUACGUCGGCAACGACGAAACUCAAAGGAAUUGACGGGGGCCCGCACAAGCGGUGGAACAUGUGGUUUAAUUCGAUGAUACGCGAGGAACCUUACCUGGGCUUAAAUGCAGAACGACGGUUCCCGAAAGGGAUCCUUCUUCGGACGGACUGCAAGGUGCUGCAUGGUUGUCGUCAGCUCGUGCCGUGAGGUGUCGGGUUAAGUCCCAUAACGAGCGCAACCCCUAUUGUUAGUUGCCAGCGAGUAAUGUCGGGGACUCUAACGAAACUGCCGGUGUAAACCGUGAGGAAGGUGGGGAUGACGUCAAAUCAGCACGGCCCUUAUGUCCAGGGCUACACACGUGUUACAAUGGUCGGUACAGAGGGCAGCUACUUGGCGACAAGUUGCGAAUCUCUAAAACCGGCCUUAGUUCGGAUUGAAGUCUGCAACUCGACUUCAUGAAGCUGGAAUCGCUAGUAAUCGCGCAUCAGCCAUGGCGCGGUGAAUACGUUCCCGGGCCUUGUACACACCGCCCGUCAAGCCAUGGAAGCUGGGGGUACAUAAA
rnacentral:rRNA from 1 species